rnacentral:rRNA from 1 species
GACGAACGCUGGCGGCGUGCCUAAUACAUGCAAGUAGAACGCUGAAGGAGGAGCUUGCUCUUCUGGAUGAGUUGCGAACGGGUGAGUAACGCGUAGGUAACCUGCCUGGUAGCGGGGGAUAACUAUUGGAAACGAUAGCUAAUACCGCAUAAGAGUAGAUGUUGCAUGACAUUUACUUAAAAGGUGCAAUUGCAUCACUACCAGAUGGACCUGCGUUGUAUUAGCUAGUUGGUGGGGUAACGGCUUACCAAGGCGACGAUACAUAGCCGACCUGAGAGGGUGAUCGGCCACACUGGGACUGAGACACGGCCCAGACUCCUACGGGAGGCAGCAGUAGGGAAUCUUCGGCAAUGGACGGAAGGCUGACCGAGCAACGCCGCGUGAGUGAAGAAGGUUUUCGGAUCGUAAAGCUCUGUUGUAAGAGAAGAACGAGUGUGAGAGUGGAAAGUUCACACUGUGACGGUAUCUUACCAGAAAGGGACGGCUAACUACGUG